CCACGAGAAAGUUACUGAAUGUUUCAGCGCCUCAGUUUAUUCACCUAUGAAAUGGAGAUAAAUGAAUACUACUUGAAGUGAAAUCUGCUGCCAUUCAAGUUGUUUUUCCCAAUAGAUUUUGAUCAUUUGGCUAACUGCUAACAUUCCAUCAAAAGAAUGGAGAAGAGAUUAAAAACCAACAAAUCUUGACUUCCUAGUGUUCCAGAAAACCAAGCAAUGACAUCUAGUGCUGUACAACUUCAAGAUGCUCUUCCAUUGUUUGCUUUGUACCCUUGCCACAUCUACUUUCUGAAGACACGCAUCAGUUGAUAAUAGCCACUGGGGGUCAGACUUCCACAUGGCCUUUACCAAACAUAUGAUUUCAUACCCAGUGCAACGGCAGAAGCCCAGACCCACAGAUU